rnacentral:sRNA from 1 species
UGUUUGCACUUAGCGGGAAGGGUAAGAACCUUCGACUAAGGUUCGACUCGAGCGCCAGCGAGAGAACGUUGCCGCAGGCAACGGCCCGAAGGGCGAGGCGCUUUAGCGACGAGUUAUCCUUCCCCCACCACCA